rnacentral:lncRNA from 1 species
CCGCAACUCUUGAUAAGUUCCUCCUUAAACUUAAUCUUGCCACAAAACAUAACUAUUCUCAUUGCUAUGCGUUCCACACUCACGAUGGGCUGUUACCUAAAACAGUGAACACUUUAAUAACUAUCAUAUAAGCAUUUUUCUUUUAACGUUUAAGGACUGUUACCACUUUUUAGGGUUUCGAGGUAAAACACAGUUAGAUCUUUAUUUCAGGUAACCAAGUUUUCAAUGUGUUUCAGAAUGAAAGACAUACAUUAAGAAGUUAGUCGUUACUUAAAAUCAAACCAAGUGGUCUACUCACUGUACUUAUUUGACCCACUGGACCACGAACCUCAGAAUUGCGGUAAAACCCUUGUUUCCAGAGUGUUCGAGUUUGUGAAUCAAGCGCUGGGCAGAAGCCCGCUCUGAAGAAAGGAAUGAAGCAUUAAAUGAUCCAGUGGAUAACCGAAUAAUAUGUCCUCCAAUUUAAUGAUAUUUUUUGACAACCAAAGCCUCAGGGUCGUGAGGACCGCAUUACAGCCUCCAGGGACCGCAUCCCCCGGGGCUGCUCCAGCAUAGUCAGAGGUCCCGCGUUCUGGGGCCGUGCGCGGCGCUCACUCUUGACGUCAUCACCCGCGCACCCAAGGCUUCUCUGGGCUGUAGUGGUGCCAGCGCUUUCGCUUUCACCGCUACUGUGAGUGACGCUUUCCCGCUAGUCUCUCCCGGCGUUGACUUUCUAGCGGUAGGUCCGCCGCGCUCCCACGGGCUCUCUGUCUCUGUCACUGCUCGCUGGCAGCAGGCCUGGCCGCUCCCACGCGGAGCGAGCUUCUCCUCAGGGCCAUGUCCAGGCCGAGCAGCGUCUCGCCGCGUCCGCCAGCUCCUAGCGGAGGCGGCACCGGAGGCGGUGGCGGCGGCCCGGCUUCGUGUGGUCCUGGAAGCGGUGGCCGGGCCAAAGGCCUCAAAGACAUUCGUAUCGACGAGGAGGUGAAGAUCGCUGUCAACAUUGCUCUGGAGCGCUUCCGAUACGGUGACCAGAGAGAAAUGGAAUUUCCUUCUUCUCUGACCAGUACGGAAAGAGCUUUUAUUCACCGACUAAGUCAAUCUCUUGGUUUAGUUUCUAAAAGUAAAGGAAAGGGAGCAAAUAGAUACCUAACUGUGAAGAAGAAAGAUGGAUCAGAAACAGCUCAUGCAAUGAUGACCUGUAAUUUGACUCAUAAUACAAAACAUGCUGUUAGGAGCCUAAUUCAGAGAUUUCCUGUCACCAAUAAAGAACGUACUGAACUUCUACCUAAAACAGAAAGAGGAAAUGUGUUUGCAGUUGAAGCUGAAAACCGAGAAAUGAGCAAGACAAGCGGGCGACUCAACAAUGGCAUACCUCAAGUUCCUGUGAAAAGGGGAGAGUCUGAAUUUGACUCAUUCAGGCAGUCUUUACCAGUUUUUGAGAAACAAGAAGAAAUUGUUAAAAUAAUUAAGGAAAAUAAAGUAGUUUUGAUUGUAGGAGAAACUGGGUCUGGAAAGACCACACAGAUUCCUCAGUUCCUGUUAGAUGAUUGCUUUAAAAAUGGCAUCCCCUGCCGAAUAUUUUGUACUCAACCGAGACGAUUAGCAGCUAUUGCUGUGGCUGAAAGAGUUGCUGCAGAGAGAAGGGAAAGGAUUGGUCAAACAAUUGGUUAUCAGAUCCGAUUAGAAAGCAGGGUUUCACCAAAGACACUUCUGACAUUUUGCACUAAUGGGGUAUUGCUUCGUACAUUGAUGGCAGGUGAUAGCACAUUGUCAACUGUGACUCAUGUUAUUGUGGAUGAAGUGCAUGAAAGGGAUCGAUUCAGUGAUUUUUUACUUACAAAGUUAAGAGAUUUGUUGCAAAAGCACCCAACUUUGAAAUUAAUUCUUUCUAGUGCUGCUUUGGAUGUGAAUCUCUUCAUAAGAUAUUUUGGAAGUUGUCCAGUGAUAUAUAGUAUGACUGUUAUUUUCUAUAAUUUCUUUGAAAUAAAACUUUGUAGUGUGAUUAUGUUUUUUAAUUCUUAAUUUUUAACAGAAACUUGAAAUACUCUGAAGAAGAGGAUAUGCAUUUAUGUUUCCCAUGAGACAGCUUUACAGUAGUCUGCCUCUACUUUGACCUCUCUUUUGCAUUUGUAGCUCUCUGAUGCCGUAUAGCAAAUUCAGUGAUCUAACAUUAAAAAGAAAUGAGCUUCUUUUUGUCCUGUGUUUCUCUUUAAACACCGCGCUGCACUUUAUUGCUUGCUCCCUUGAAACAGUCUUCUAUACCGUCUUGUUCAUCCAGUUGCAAACCCCAGACUCAGGGCUGUCAAACUCCACUUAUUCUCAGUGAGGUCUAUUCUAAGCCACCAUCAUUAGGCUUCCUUUCCCUGUACACUUUACUGCUUGAGCUAUACCUCUUAUUUCCUUCACAUUUUGUCUUGUCAGCAUCUGGCCCAGCUACCUCUUUAUGUUGUCUCUCAUCCUGAGAAUUGCAGUUUGAAUUCAACCUUACUUACUGAAUUCUCACUUGAAUAAUUUUGAUUUCAGGUCCCCCAAGUUUUGUCACUUUUAAUUGAUUUUCUAUUUUCUCUUUUUUCUUUAGCUAUGACAUUUAUUUACGGAAGUGCAGAAUCAGUUAAAAUAUCACCUUCUCAGAUGCAUGACUUAGCAAAGGAAAGGGAGCACAAUGGAAUUGCCCUGUAAGAUGAUUUCCUUUCUUCUCCUUACAGGGCUGCUUCAGCCCCCUGGGGUCGAGUAGGAGC